rnacentral:rRNA from 1 species
UACGUAGGGACCAAGCGUUGUUCGGAUUUACUGGGCGUAAAGGGCGCGUAGGCGGCGCGGUAAGUCACUUGUGAAAUCUCUGAGCUUAACUCAGAACGGCCAAGUGAUACUGCAGUGCUAGAGUGUGGAAGGGGCAAUCGGAAUUCUUGGUGUAGCGGUGAAAUGCGUAGAUAUGACAUAGAACACCAAUUGCGAAGGCAGCUUACUACACAGUUAUUGACACUGAGGCACGAAAGCGUGGGGAUCAAACAGG